AGAGUGCUGUGGGCGCUGAGUGCGACUGCCGCUUCCCGGAGGGCACCCACCGGUCUGUGCGCGCCCGGCCCCCGCCCCCGGCUCCGCGGCCGCGUAGCCGUUCCAGGCGGUGUCCACGCCGCUGCCACCGCCCCGCGCUCUCCUCCUCGGGAAGCUGCAGGCGCACGUGUCCCCCGGGGCGGGGCGAGGCAGACAAUGGGGCCAAGGGGGAGGGGAGCGGCGCGGAGACCCGCGGACCUUUGGUCCGCCGGACUGGCGGUACUCGAGUGCGAGAGUCGCCCUUGGAGACUCGAUCUCCCCAACUGGACAGUGGGCCCUCCUCGCAGCCGCGCGGCUCCGCUUUCACGGGAACCUUCGGCGAAGGGAGGGGCGCCCCAGGCUUGGACGCGGAAACCCCGGCUGCUUUUGAAGGGGGAACGGGGCUGGCUCCAGUGGAGCGAGGAGCGGCUCCUGCCUUGGGAUGACACGAAGGCCAGAUUUGGAAGCGAAACCGCCCGGUGGUGAAGGGUUGUGCAAUACUCCGUUUCAGUCCCUGGCCUUUUAAGCAGUUAAGGGCUUCCUCCUGGCACAGUUUGAGCAACUUGAAACAGCACAAAGCUGCGUGGUUAGAACAACUUUGAGAAAAAUGUCUGUGUUUCUUUUAAAAAAAACCUUGGCAACUAAAUCUUCUGUGAAAUGACGUUUCCUUUAUAAUCGUUUACUAGGUACAAGAAAGACAAGACAAAGGCAUUUGAAUUACAGACGCGAUAUGGAUACUAAUUUUAUCCAGGGCAGCUGUAAUGAAAAAUAGAAACAAUGUCCUUUUGAUUAAAAAGCUUAUUUUUAAGAGCUUACUGGUUCCCCAGAUGAGCUCUGUGCUAUGAUAACAAAUCAGUGGUUUGAGGAAAAGUUAGAUAAACACUCUUCAAAGUGCACAAGCACAUAAAAUGCUAGAUUAUUUUCAUAGCUACUUGGAUCAGAUAUGAAGUAUGUUUUAGCCAAAGCACCACAUAGCCAACCUGUUUAGUAAGGAUUUGAGAUCUCCACCACCCCAGAUUCCUUACUAUCAAACAUAUGUGAUAUUCAGCUGCUUCAGCCAUAGGGAUUUUUGUUCACAAUGCAGAGGUCGUGGUUAAUGAUAUACAUGAAAAACAAAAUGUUUAAUAGAAAACUAUGAAAAUAAGAGUCAUACCAUGGAUUAAACAAGAAUAAAAAUUGGCCGGGCGCGGUGGCUCACGCCUGUAAUCCCAGCACUUUGGAAGGCCGAGGCGGGCGGAUCACAAGGUCAGGAGAUCGAGACCAUCCUGGCUAACACGGUGAAACCCCGUCUCUACUAAAAAUACAAAAAAAUUAGCCAGGCGUGGUGGCGGGCGCCUGUAGUCCCAGCUACCCUGGAGGCUGAGGCAGGAGAAUGGCGUUAACCCGGGAGGCGGAGCUUGCAGUGAGCGGAGAUCGCGCCACUGCACUCCAGCCAGGACGACAGAGCGAGACUCCGUCUCAAAAAAAAAAAGAAUAAAAAUGAGUCUGAAACAUGUAACACUUUGUUUAGACCUUCCUGGGUAUUAAAAAAAAUUUUUUAAAGUGCCUUAACCUGGGCAAAGCUCCC
rnacentral:lncRNA from 10 species